rnacentral:rRNA from 1 species
UCCGGGGGGGGCAAGCGUUGUUCGGAAUUACUGGGCGUAAAGGGCUCGUAGGCGGCCAACUAAGUCAUACGUGAAAUCCCUCGGCUUAACCGGGGAACUGCGUCUGAUACUGGAUGGCUUGAGUUCGGGAGAGGGAUGCGGAAUUCCAGGUGUAGCGGUGAAAUGCGUAGAUAUCUGGAGGAACACCGGUGGCGAAGGCGGCAUCCUGGACCGAUACUGACGCUGAGGAGCGAAAGCCAGGGGAGCAAACGGG